GGAACGUCUGACACAGGUGCUGCAUGGCUGUCGUCAGCUCGUGUCGUGAGAUGUUGGGUUAAGUCCGUAACGAGCGCAACCCUUGUCCUUAGUUACCAGCACGUUAUGGUGGGCACUCUAAGGAGACUGCCGGUGACAAACCGGAGGAAGUGGGGAUGACGUCAAGUCAUCAUGGCCUUACGGCCUGGGCUACACACGUGCUACAAUGGUCGGUACAAAGGGUUGCCAAGCCGCGAGGUGGAGCUAAUCCCAUAAAACCGAUCGUAGUCCGGAUCGCAGUCUGCAACUCGACUGCGUGAAGUCGGAAUCGCUAGUAAUCGUGAAUCAGAAUGUCACGGUGAAUACGUUCCCGGGCCUU
rnacentral:rRNA from 1 species